GCGGCCCCCUGGCACAAUACUGACGCUCAGGUGCGAAAGCGUGGGGAGCAAAUUGGAUUAGAUACCCUGGUAGUCCACGCCGUAAACGAUGUCUACUAGCUGUUCGUGGUCUUGUACUGUGAGUAGCGCAGCUAACGCACUAAGUAGACCGCCUGGGGAGUACGGUCGCAAGAUUAAAACUCAAAUGAAUUGACGGGGGCCCGCACAAGCGGUGGAGCAUGUGGUUUAAUUCGACGCAACGCGAAGAACCUUACCUACUCUUGACAUCUAGCGAAGAUUGCAGAGAUGCAGUUGUGCCUUCGGGAACGCUAAGACAGGUGCUGCAUGGCUGUCGUCAGCUCGUGUUGUGAAAUGUUGGGUUAAGUCCCGCAACGAGCGCAACCCUUAUCCUUAGUUGCCAGCACGUAAUGGUGGGAACUCUAGGGAGACUGCCGGUGAUAAACCGGAGGAAGGUGGGGACGACGUCAAGUCAUCAUGGCCCUUACGAGUAGGGCUACACACGUGCUACAAUGGUACGUACAGAGGGAGGCAAGCUGGCGACAGUGAGCGGAUCUCUUAAAGCGUAUCGUAGUCCGGAUCGCAGUCUGCAACUCGACUGCGUGAAGUCGGAAUCGCUAGUAAUCGCAAAUCAGAAUGUUUGCGGUGAAUACGUUCCCGGGCCUUGUACACACCGCCCGUCACACCAUGGGAGUGGGUUGCAAAAGAAGUAAGUAGCUUAACCCUUCGGGAGGGCGCUUACCA
rnacentral:rRNA from 1 species